GACGAACGCUGGCGGCGUGCUUAACACAUGCAAGUCGAGCGAUGAAGCACCUUCGGGUGUGGAUUAGCGGCGAACGGGUGAGGAACACGUGAGGAAUCUGCCUUCCACUCUGGGAUAACUCCGGGAAACCGGGGCUAAUACCGGAUAUUUUCAACUGGCGGCAUCGCCGGUUGAAGAAAGUUUUUCGGUGGAAGAUGACCUCGCGGCCUAUCAGCUGGUUGGUGAGGUAAAGGCUCACCAAGGCGACGACGGGUAGCCGGCCUGAGGGGGUGACCGGCCACACUGGGACUGGGACACGGCCCAGACUCCUACGGGAGGCAGCAGUGGGGAAUAUUGGGCAAUGGAGGAAACUCUGACCCAGCGACGCCGCGUGAGGGAUGAAGGCCUUCGGGUUGUAAACCUGUGUCAGCAGGGAAUAAGCGAAAGUGAAGGUACCUGCAGAAGAAGCACCGGCUAACUAUGUGCCAGCAGCCGCCGUAA
rnacentral:rRNA from 1 species